AAUGAAGCUAUCUAGCAGUUCUAUACAAUACCAGCCUAAGAGAUAUACAUGUAAGCAACGGUGAAUAAAUGCAUGAGAUGCAAUGCAAUGCAUGAACACUGCGAAUCGUGCAGUCCGAUCCAUAUGGGUACCUGCACUCACUGUGGGGGUUCAGAUUCCGGAGGGGCUCCUACAGCCCAGUGCCAUAUCAUAUAGUGCCAAUAGUUACCACUGUUUCUUUUUCAAUACACGGUGCCAAUAGUUACCACCGUUUUCAUUACAAUACAUGGUGCCAAUAGUUACCACCAUUUCCAUUUUAAAAUAUGGUGCCAACUGUUACCACCGUUUCUAUUUAAAAAUACGGUGCCAAUAGUUACCACCAUUUCCAUUUAAUAGUUACCACCAUUUCCAUUUAAAAGUACGGUGCCAAUUUUACAAACAUUUCCAUUUAAGUAUAAUAUACAAUCCAAAAUAGUGAGAUUGUACUCGUCAGUCCAAAAUAUCAUUUAAAAAUCAUUUGAGUUUUCAAAACGUAUAAAUAUGGCAUAGUUUGCAAAAAUGGUAUUUAAACCCUGGACUGAAUUCAAAUAAUAUGCAAAUAAUGAAAAUUCUAGAAUAACGAUCCCUCAAGGAUUCUACAAGUCGGCACAAGGCCCCAAACAUGGCAUCAAGCCCAAAUAUCAUCAAUAUAGUAUGCGAAGCAAUUGCCAACAUAGCACAAUCUAUCCCUCGGGUUGGACCGAGUCACAAUUUCCAACAUAUACGUUUCCGCACUAGCCAUGGAGUGCUUGUCUAGCGUCAUAAUAGCGUCAUAAUGU
rnacentral:lncRNA from 1 species